ACACACACACACACACACACACACUAGCUUUACAUAGAAAAUCAUUUUUGCUGCGAAAUCGAUCACUCCAAAUUUUGAAUUCAGCACCUGUCAAUCAGAGGAGCAGCAUCGGCUCAAUGAACGCUCUGACUCAGCUGCUCAGCUGUGGUAUGGUGAAGUAAAUAUGCAGGUUACUACCAGCGUGUGUCUCCUCAGACGGAAAUACAGCCAAAUAACACAACUAAAAAUAUCCAUGCACUGAGGUCAAAGGUGUGCCUGAGGUCAAGGCUUCUGUUUUUUUCCACUACAGAACAGCCUGAGUCCCUUUAGGACAUUUUGUGAUCCCAAUCGUGUCUGGGAAUCGUCCUUCAGGCAAUUGUGGCUGUGACAGAUAAUGCAACGUAACAGAGUCGAAAAUGUCCCGCUGGGGGAGAAGCUGAUCUCCUGUGCGGAGGGUACGAGAUGGCGUCGCUUCAGGAGUUCUCCGCACGGGAAAAUAUCCUCUUGCCUUUUUCCAAGUGGUGCACAGCGCGUGGACGGGAACCUCUGGGUGUGUAUCGUAGCGUCGCUCUAUGAUCACACAAGGAGCCCUGUGGAACUGUACCUCCUCGCUCCCUCACAGCGAGAUGGUGCUGGGUUUGAUCCCACCAGCCUGUUGGGAGAUACACUAUACGAAUGUGCAUAUACAAUAAGCUCUGCACGCCAGAUACUCCACUUUGAACACGUGUGGAUUAACGCUCUUCUGUUUUCACUGCUCGGACAGUGUUUGCACAUCAAAUGUUUUAUGAAAAGUGCAUGUGUGCUGUGGAAUAUAAGAACAUAUCAAUAGUGUAGAAGCAGUGUAGAAACCUAUGCCCCCCGUCCUCCUCC
ensembl:lncRNA